rnacentral:rRNA from 1 species
UACGUAGGUCCCGAGCGUUGUCCGGAUUUAUUGGGCGUAAAGCGAGCGCAGGUGGUUUAUUAAGUCUGGUGUAAAAGGCAGUGGCUCAACCAUUGUAUGCAUUGGAAACUGGUAGACUUGAGUGCAGGAGAGGAGAGUGGAAUUCCAUGUGUAGCGGUGAAAUGCGUAGAUAUAUGGAGGUACACCGGUGGCGAAAGCGGCUCUCUGGCCUGUAACUGACACUGAGGCUCGAAAGCGUGGGGAGCAAACAGG